GACAGAGGGUGCAAAUGUUGUUCGGAAUUACUGGGCGUAAAGCGUGUGUAGGCGGUCUCGUAAGUCGGGUGUGAAAGCCCUGGGCUCAACCCAGGAAGUGCACUCGAAACUGCGAGGCUAGAGUACUGGAGAGGUUGGUGGAAUUCUCGGUGUAGAGGUGAAAUUCGUAGAUAUCGAGAGGAACACCGGUGGCGAAGGCGGCCAACUGGACAGAUACUGACGCUGAGACACGAAAGCGUGGGGAGCAAACAGG
rnacentral:rRNA from 1 species